GUAGGUGGCAAGCGUUGUCCGGAAUUAUUGGGCGUAAAGCGCGCGCAGGCGGGGUCCUUUAAGUCUGAUGGUGAAAAGCCCGCGGGCUCAACCGUGGAGGGUCAUUGGAAACUGGGGGACUUGAGUACAGAAGAGGAAAGCGGAAUUCCAAGUGUAGCGGUGAAAUGCGUAGAGAUUUGGAGGAACACCAGUGGCGAAGGCGGCUUUCUGGUCUGUAACUGACGCUGAGGCGCGAAAGCGUGGGGAGCAAACAGGAUUAGAUACCCUGGUAGUCCACGCCGUAAACGAUGAGUGCUAAGUGUUAGGGGGUUUCCGCCCCUUAGUGCUGCAGCUAACGCAUUAAGCACUCCGCCUGGGGAGUACGGCCGCAAAGGCUG
rnacentral:rRNA from 1 species